CAAAUAUGUGUAUGUAUCGCAGUGUAAGCAGUGACUAAUAUAAUGUACUCUAAGAAAUGACCUUUCAAACUUACUGAAUGACUGAAAUUUUCCCUGUUUGGUUACUUCCUAGUAUAACACCCAAAAUCUGGAACUUCAUUUUAGAAACGUUAAUAUCCCUAAGCAGUGCUAUUGGCUUCCAUGAGAGUUUCAGUAGAAAGAUAAGGCAGAGCAAGGCAAAUUCUGUAUCAAGCAAUAAUCAGUGGUUGGUAAGACACUUGGAAAUUUAUCUACCAUGUACAAAAACUGUGACAGAGAUAAAAUGUGGCCAUGAGAUUUAGCAUUCUCAGUGUUAUCUUAGAUUCACAGACAGCAGGAGACUGUGAAUGUUCAUUUUUAUUUUUCGUUCAGAAAGUAUUUGUUUAUGAAAUGGCAAAAUAAUGUGAAUACACAGUUGCCAGGAGGAGAAAGGAUGGGUAAUGUAUCUCUUAUGUCUUGGCUUGAUUCAGGGACAUCUGUGACUUUGCAGACAGAUCAGCCUUCAAAAAAAGUCUGCAGUAACUUUGCAGCACCCUCUUAUCAUGUUUCUUGAUAACAGCAUAUGUGUGAAAAUCUGCUUUUUUUAUUAUAAAGAUGAAAAGUCAUUUAGCAAAUACAAAAAUAUCACUGCAAAUUUCAGUAUUUAAAUACUGCCCAAUAUCUCUGCUUCCAUGCACAUAUAUUUCCAUAUAUGCAUAAUCCGAAGCCUGUGACUAAUCAUGUUGAGCUCAAUAGUAUGUUUAUGAGAUUAAAGCCUCUUUACAUCUGGGAAUUUGAAUGUUUCUGGGAAUAAUUUGAUUUUUUUUUCCUUGUUAAGCUAUAUGCAAAUUUUUUACAUGCUCUUGAGUCAUUAUGCAUAGAAAAAAAAAGUUGAAAUAAUAGAGGUAAAACACAAUUUGUGAGCCUUGGAAUACUUGAGGGAGUCCCCUUCUAUUUACUGCAGAAACAGCUGCCAUUCAGCUGUGAGAUUUGGAGCUGUGGAGACUGUGGAGGAAAGAAGUAGUAUUCCUUCCUAGUGUAUUAAAAAAGAUGCUUUAGAUCAACAUUCCUAACUGAGUUUCUUGAUUCCCGAUGUCCUGAGAGAGUUAUUUUCAAAUUAAUUGUAAUAUGCAAACAUAUUGCUUGUACAUGAUAGUGAUUUAUGGUAAUUGCAAUACUGAUGGGGAAAGGAAUCUUUCAGACUACUUAAUGAGCACCUGUGAAAUUAUGGAAUACAGGCAUGAGCAUCCCAACUAUUUGCCCAAGAGAGUUUCUUUCCACAGCUGUGAGAUUUGGGCAUCAUUAUUUAGUUAUAAAUUGAGAGCCUCUUCCAAAAAGCAAGCAGGUACUUGGAACAAGUUCAUGGGACAGCUGAUGUAAGUAAUUGCUCAACAGUGUAAAUAAGGAGCUUACAAUCUGGCUGUACUUUAUUAUUUACUAGUACUUAUUGCAGUUUAUUGGUCUUGUUUCAAAUGGUGAAGUUAAAAGUAAAAUGAGUUUCUUUUUAGAAUAAGGAAGAAAUACAGCACCAUAUGUUGUGCCAAUGGAGCUCUGUCUGAUAUAGUGCUAAUACAUUCCUUCCAAGGCCUCUAGACAUUUUACAACAUUUUUAGCACCAAUUUCUGCAGUAAUGACUAACUUCUUCAGGACAGAAAAUUACAUUCCUUGGGAGGAUAUGAAAUGAUCAAGAAACGAAACAGCGACAUUAUCCAAGAAGCCAUUGAGUUAGGAUUUUAAUGCCAGAGCAAUUAAUACGCUAUGAGAAAUAAAUCAACUGGAACAAUAUGUGAUAAGCAGAAAGCAUUCUUGUGGUCUUUUUAUAAUACUGAAAAUGUAAACAGUACAUGUCAGCAGAUACAAUGUGCUAGUUUUUAUCAAAAUAUGGAUUUUCUCAGAAACGUGGGUUUGAUCAAUGGAAACAUUGAUAAAUGACUCUGGUUUCCGUGGGAAGAAUUGUGAGCCUGAGUAUAAAAGAAAAGGCUAAAACAAAGCUCACCGAAAUGCCUAAAGUAAAGCUCCCUGUAGUCAAUCAGUUUCUUGACUUUGGCAGUCUUUCAAUCAAUGUUUUAAUAUUAGGAACCAUAAGGAUGAAUAGGAAUCAUCUACAUGCUGCAGGUCACAUCUGUGUUCUUAAAGAUGCUUUCAUGUAUGAAAGUCAAACUGAAAUAGCAAACCUAAUCUCCACAGACAAGUUUGAUGGAGCCCUGGCCAUUCAUCUUUAUAAAGGAGGCAGACUUCUGCAAGGUAGCAAAAUUCCUUUUGGAAUCAUCUUUGGUGGGACAGAUGUAAAUGAAGAUGUCAAAUGUGAAGAGAAACAUCGGGUAAUGGGAGCAGUGCUAGAAGAAGCCAGGUUUGCAGUGGCUUUCACGGUGAAAAUGAAGGAACUGGCAGCAGCAGAGUGGCCAGAUGCUAGGAAGAAAAUAUAUGUCCAGACUCAAGGAAUUAAGACUACACCCAAGGAAACAUUUGACUGGUAUAGACUUCUACAAAAUGCAGGUAUUCCUACAGAUACAGACAGUUUACAUGUUUUUCUCUUGAUAUGUGGACUUCGAAGAGUCAAAGACCCCCUGUAUUUAGUAGAUGUCUUUUCGGAUUGGCACAGAAAGGAACCCAGCAUCCAUCUGGGCAUAAUUGGACCUGCAGUUGAUCCCCUUUUUACCAGUGAAGUUAAGGAAAAAGUUAAAAGGGCACCUGGGGUACACUUAUUACAGGAGAUGCCCCAAGAUGAUCUUCAUGCUGCUAUGAAAAGGUGCUUUGCUGUGGUGAACAGCUCCAUUUCAGAGGGGAUGUCUGCUGCAAUUCUGGAGAAAGCUCAGGAGUUCUGCAUGUUCCUGGGCAUGUGAUGGUGAAAAAGGCAUUACUACUGGAAAAGCUUGCAAUGGAUUUAAACAUUCCAGUGCUGGCAAGGAACAUUCCUGGGAAUGCAGCAAUAAUAAAACAUAAGGAAACAGGACUGCUAUUUUCAAAUCCUCAGGAGUUUGUUGUGCUGUCCAAG